rnacentral:snRNA from 1 species
AUCGCUUCUCGGCCUUUUGGCUAAGAUCAAGUGUAGCAACAUACAAGGGUGCUUAUUUUAAUUUAUUUUUAAUUUAUUUAUUUUAGAUGUGGUAUGGAGGGGCAGAGGGAGACAGUCUCAAGCAGGCUCCAUGCUGAGUGCAGAGCCUGACAUGGGACUUGAU